UUGUCGUACAGCAGGAGUUAAGUGCGUGUGCGGCAAACUCUUAAAGGGGAGCAAUUUCCCCUCAAUUGCUCACAGCUCAAGUGAGCGUGAGACGAGGGAGAGAUCCGAGAGGUCUGCUGGAGAAAAGAAGGAGAGAAGAGAAAGGAAGAGAAAGUAAAGAAAGGAGAAAGAAAAGAAAGAAGGAAGAAGGAAGAAGAGGGAUAGAGAAACUAGAGUUUUGCAAGGGAAAUGUUGGAUACAGUUUCCAAAUAAGAGGAUGUGACGCCAGAACUUGGGGCAUUUCACUCAACUCCGAUCAGCUCAGAAAAAUCGGAGUCUCUGGUCGGAAGGCGAUCGAGUUACUUUCACGACUUGGCGGACAAGUCUUACAAGAGUGGGGAUUUAUCGGACUCCUUGAUUCUAAAAAAGAACGAUGAGUCGCUGCUCACGAAGCUCAUGUUGGUAAGGUAAUUGGGGCUUGGUCGGUGCACAUGUUCAUGAUGUUCUCGCUGCGCAGGGCGGAUGUUCUUCGGAUGGGAGACCUUGGCGUGAGGAAAGGCUUGUAUGGGAAUGGGAGCCAAUGGGAGCCGAGGGGAUGAUAGUGAUCACAAUCAUAUCGCCGUUGGUGGAUGGUAAGCCUAAUACACUACAUGGACUGUGACACAAUAUGUAAAAUCCAACCAGCGAAUUUAUUCUAGAAUAUGUAAAAUCCAACCAGCGAAUUUAUUCUAGAAAAUCUUGAGCAAAUAAUAUGCUAUUUGCAUGUCUUAA